rnacentral:tRNA from 1 species
GCCUGGGUAGCUCAGUGGUUGAGCAUCUGCCUUUGGCUCAGGUCCUGAUCCCUGGAUCCUGGGAUCAAAUCCCACAUCAGGCU